UUGUGAAAAAUAUAAGAAAAUACAUAUGUUCUGUUCUGGCUCUUGUUUUUGGCUCAACAAAAUUGAACUUUGAACAAGCUGCAAACAGCUCUUUUAACUUUCAACAACAACAAAAAUCCAUUUUUCAAUGUAAGUUGUUCAAUCCUAUUCCCAUUUUCCUUGGAUUUACAUCAAGUGAUGUCCCAGUCUGAAUGUGCACCAUACACACAACAUUGCAAAUGUGUAUAUGUACAUCAUUAAGGCCAUGUUUAUUUUCCACACCAAAGCUGCAGAGAUAAUGCACCAGAGACUUCAUCCCUCCUCUCUGACAUACACACAUCAACAAGUGAUCACAUUUGACACUCAACGUACGCACACUCAAUAAAGACAUACAUACAUACAUACAUACAUAAAACAUGUGCUUUUUUUAAUAUAUUUUUCUUUCCAAAAGCAGACAUGAGCCAGAAACAAACCUGCAUCUUCCUCAAAGAGGUGUCGAGGAGACAAAGAAACCUCACCCACGAGGAGGCAGAAGCUAAUCCCUUUUUCAUAUCCUGUCUCCCAUGAUUUACAAAAAUGGGCAGUUUUUAUACUCUGGCCUUAUGUCCGCAUGCCCUCUAGAGUUACGUGAGGCAUUUGGGGAGUUUGAUAAAGACAAAGAUGGCUUCAUAACCUGUAAAAACUUGGGUAACUUGAUGAGGACCAUGGGUUACAUGCCAACCGUAAUGGAACUGAUACAACUCAGCCAAAACAUCAACAUGAACUUGGGAGGACGAGUGGACAUUAAGGACUUUCUGGAACUGAUGACCCCCAAGCUCUUGACUGAAACGGCAGCCAUGAUUGGUCUAAAAUAACUCAAAGAAGCUUUCAGAGAAAGUUUGUGAGAAUGAUGUCACAGAAGUGAGGGCAACAAAGGACUAUGCAUGUCUUCGAAUCAACUUGAUCCUUGGUUUGCUCUCAUGAGAUCGGUCAUUUUUACUGCAACUAUUAUUUUUGUUACAAAUGUAUGCACUACAUUUAAUACAGUUAUAUUCCACAAGACUUUAAUUUAAUGUCACCUAGUUUGCCAUGAAUCCCUAACACGGACAAUCGUCUCCUCAGAUAUGUCCUCAGAAAAGUAACUUCACGUCACCAUUUGUCUUUGAACUUUUUCAACUAAAUCUACAAUGCUUUAAGUGAAAAAAUUCAAUUGCAGUUUAAAAGGAUGCAGAAAAUGCAUGGAGUGAGACAUUUCCCACGUAAAACCCAAUAUCUGCUCACUUGACCGCGGUGCAAUUUACACUCAGCUGUUUGUUUACACGGACACUGUCGAUGCAAAACUUGGUGUGCAAAAAACGCAUACAGUACAUACCCGCUAUGUGCGAAUGAUACCUGACAAAUAAUUGCCACUAUUUUUUAACCUCAUGAUUCCGCGCCUACUUGCUCCUACCCCUCCAAACCUUCCUGCUAGCUUGACAUUCUCCUCUGAUUUCGGAUCAAUGCUUGCAAAAAAAUGAGUAUUUUUGUGAUUUUGUUAUUACCGGAUUAGAUUCUGCUCCAGAACCCUCCCUACGAAGAAAGCUAACACACUAAAUACUAGAAGCCUAAUCCAGAUUUAAGC